rnacentral:rRNA from 1 species
GGCGGCACGCCUCAUACAUGCAAGUCGAGCGAUCGGAUGCUGGGUGCUUGCACCCGGCAUCACGGAGCGGCGAACGGGUGAGUAACACGUGGGCAACUUGCCUCGAGGACGGGGAUAACUCCGGGAAACUGGGGCUAAUACCCGAUGACCUUUUUGGAUCGCAUGGUCCGAUAAGCAAAAGGUUCUUCCGCCUCGAGAGGGGCUCACGGCCUAUCAGCUUGUUGGUGGGGUAACGGCCCACCAAGGCUUUGACGGGUAGCCGGCCUGAGAGGGUGUCCGGCCACAUCGGGACUGAGACACGGCCCGAACUCCUACGGGAGGCAGCAGUAGGGAAUCUUGCACAAUGGGCGAAAGCCUGAUGCAGCGAUGCCGCGUGAGGGAUGAAGGCCUUCGGGUUGUAAACCUCUUUCAGUAGGGAAGAAGCCACGGGACACCGUGGUGACGGUACCUGCAGAAGAAGCCCCGGCUAACUACGUGCCAGCAGCCGCGGUAAAACGUAGGGGGCUAGCGUUGCCCGGAUUCACCGGGCGUAAA